CCUGGUGAUCCUGGUCCCCCUGGGGAACCUGGUCCAGCUGGUCAGGAUGGUGUUGGUGGAGAGAAGGGUGAAGAUGGUGAUCCUGGUCAACCUGGUCCACCAGGUCCUUCAGGUGAAGCUGGCCCACCUGGUCCUCCUGGGAAAAGAGUAAGGAAUAUCUCAUGUUCUCUUGUACACUCCUCUUUCUGAGACACUGUGUCCUAGAGAAUUCCAGCUACUUGUUCUAUGCUGGGACACUCAUAUAAAUGAAAAAAUAGAAACAGCAGAGAAAGCUCUUUA
rnacentral:lncRNA from 1 species